ACUCCUACGGGAGGCAGCAGUGAGGAAUAUUGGUCAAUGGAGGGAACUCUGAACCAGCCAUCCCGCGUGUAGGAAGACGGCCUUAUGGGUUGUAAACUACUUUUAUACAGGAAGAAACGUACCCUCGUGAGGGUGCCUGACGGUACUGUAGGAAUAAGCACCGGCUAACUCCGUGCCAGCAGCCGCGGUAAUACGGAGGGUGCGAGCGUUAUCCGGAUUUAUUGGGUUUAAAGGGUCCGUAGGCGGAUUAAUAAGUCAGUGGUGAAAUCCCAUCGCUUAACGAUGGAACUGCCAUUGAUACUGUUAGUCUUGAAUGAGGGUGCAGUGGUUGGAAUGUGUAGUGUAGCGGUGAAAUGCAUAGAUAUUACACAGAACACCGAUUGCGAAGGCAGAUCACUAACCCUAAAUUGACGCUGAGGGACGAAAGCGUGGGGAGCGAACAGGAUUAGAUACCCUGUAGCACAGAG
rnacentral:rRNA from 1 species